CCUUUCACCUAAGGCAAUGGUGAAGUGGAAACAGGAUUAUCACUCCCUUGUUUUUCAGAAUUUGUGGUCAGAUAUAAAUAAAUUUGUAAUUCCUAAUAAAGUCAAAGAAACUCACUUUAAAAUAAUAAACAGAUACUAUCCAUGUAACAAUUUUAUUAGUAAAUUUAAAGAAGGGUUUUCGCCAUUAUGUAGUUUUUGUAAAGAAGAAACAGAAACAAUUGUACACUUAUUCUUCAGUUGUAAUUAUACCAAAUUAUUUUGGUCCCAAGUUUCUAUGUUUCUUUUUGACUUGUUUUACAAGUUUGUCACUAUAACUGAUGUAAUGGUCUUGUUUAUGGAUUGUGAUACUGGUUUAAUGGAAUUGGAUAAUAUAAUUAAACUUCUUAUACUACUAGGGAAAUAUCAUAUACAUAAAGCAAAAUGUAUAUCGACUGUACCAAAUGGUAGACUAUUUUCCACUGAUUUGAAGAUUUUUUUAUGACUCUCUAACAUCAAUACAGAACAAUUGAAAAGCUGUUAAGACAUCUAAGCUGUUGAAAAGGAUACUUAAUGUAAUAGAAACGUGACUGUUUUGUGAUAUAAGAUACAGAAUUUUGAUUUAAUUGUUUUAUAUAUUCAAAUGUCUUUGUAUUCCCCUACUGUUGUUUCAAUAAAAAAAAAAUAAAAAAAACAUUAGACAAGCACCUGAUGUCUAAAUAAAACAUUGCUCACCAUUUGAUUUAAAGCACAGAGCAUGUCCAUGUUUCACUAACCACACCCACAUUAUUAAAACACAACAGAACUUCACUCUUCGCAUUCAUUCAUGCAUCAGCGACACUUCAUUUGUUUUAUAAAACCACAUUGAGCAUAACUUAUAAAUCAACAAUCAAUAAAACAACAAGGAAAAUCUAACAAAUCACUUUAAUAGUAAACAAACACUCUGAUCUUUAAAGUGGACUUCAGUUAAGAUGGAGGAGAAGCAAAUGCUGCUCAUGAUGCUCAUCACAGUUUCAGGUGGAUUUGCUGAUAAAAUUGAACCAAAAGAUGGAAAUACUAAUGUAAUCAAAGAAGAAGGAGAGUCUGUGACACUGAGCUGCACAUAUGAAACUAACAGCAAUAAUAUUUGGCUUUUCUGGUACAGACAGUAUCCAAACAGAGAACCAGAAUAUUUACUGUAUAAAGGUGCUCGAUCACGGAGCAGUGAGGAAGAUAUACCAGACGGUUUUCAGUCGAAAACAUCCCAAACAUCCACUGAACUCACUAUUAACAGUGUGACUCUGUCAGAUUCAGCUCUCUAUUAUUGUGCUCUUGAAGUAGCAGCCCAGUGAUACAAAGUGCCUGAGAAGCUUUACAAAAACUCAUACAAAAUUAAUGCUUUGAAGUGUCUUUAAUCAAUCUGUAUCAUGUUACUGUAAACCACAAACAGUGAAUGUGGUGACAGCUGUGAAUUUGGGAGGUUACAUAAGGGCAUGUGAAUAAAA